CCUAAUACAUGCAAGUCGAGCGCAGGAAACAAGUAGAUACCCUUCGGGGGUGACGCUUGUGGAAUGAGCGGCGGACCGGGUGAGUAACACGUGGGGCAACCUACCUUGUAGACUGGGACAACUCCGGGAAACCGGAGCUAAUACGGGAUGAUCAUUUGAGUCGCAUGAUUGAAAUGUAAAAGUGGGGAGUAAUCCUCACACUAUGAGAUGGGCCCGCGGCGCAUUAGCUAGUUGGUAAGGUAAUGGCUUACCAAGGCAACGAUGCGUAGCCGACCUGAGAGGGUGAUCGGCCACACUGGAACUGAGACACGGUCCAGACUCCUACGGGAGGCAGCAGUAGGGAAUCAUCCGCAAUGGGCGAAAGCCUGACGGUGCAACGCCGCGUGAACGAUGUAAGGUUUUCGGAUCGUAAAGUUCUGUUAUGAGGGAAGAACAAGUGCCGUUCGAAUAGGGCGGCACCUUGACGGUACCUCACGAGAAAGCCCCGGCUAACUACGUG
rnacentral:rRNA from 1 species